UACAGAGGGUGCAAGCGUUAAUCGGAGUUACUGGGCGUAAAGGGCGCGUAGGUGGUCAUGUAAGUUGUUUGUGAAAUCCCCGGGCUUAACCUGGGAACUGCAAGCGAAACUGUGUGACUAGAGUACUGUAGAGGGUAGUGGAAUUUCCGGUGUAGCGGUGAAAUGCGUAGAGAUCGGAAGGAACACCAGUGGCGAAGGCGGCUACCUGGACAGAUACUGACACUGAGGCGCGAGAGCGUGGGGAGCAAACAGG
rnacentral:rRNA from 1 species